rnacentral:lncRNA from 1 species
AUUUAUUGAAUAAUAAACUCUUAUAACGAGAAAAAUAUAUUUCAAAGAGAUAUCUCAAUUUAGUGUCACCGUACAAACUGGACUGGAAGGGAUCGAGGAAAACAGUUGGGAGAUGGACAGGAAUGCUAUCUUCCUUGUUAAAGCACACUCCAGGAUUUGUUACUAAAAAGAAAGCUUUCAGGUCAGAAAGCUAACAGCCUAAACUAAGGAACUGGCUUUGGCAGCCGUAAAGGUGACUUAGAAAAGAGGCUAUAAAAUUGAAAGAGCUUGAGGAAUAGAAUAAAUAAGAGUUUGUAACUGAUUGAGAGACAGGGAGGAAUCUUGUGUGAUUCUGAGGUUUCCAACAUUGGUAAUAAGUACUAAGGAAUUUCCUGGAAAAGAGAGUAGAUUGAACACACUGAAAUAUGCUUCCCAACCUAAAUUCAUAGAAAUGCUAGGCAAGACAGUUAAAAAAAUUUAAAAAGUCACACCUCAAAGCAAGAAGGGAGUUCUCCAAUGCUAAAAACAAAAGGGGAACCCAAAGUAAUGAGUAGGAGACAAAGUCAACUUGCUCAAGGGAGGCCUGAAGUCAACACAGGCAUUAGCAGCUAUGUUUUCAACAUUACUGUGGGGACAAAGUUAAAUUUAUAAGCUCUGGGUCAGGGUAGACUCAGAAACUGGAUUCCUUGUAUGAGGCUUUGGGCUAGAAAUGUGUUUCCCCUCUCCCCCCUUUUUUUACAGGGAGGAAAAAAAAAACCAUUGUCCACUAGACAGAGGUUAUAGCCUGAAGCAAGCUUCUGCCUCAGACAAGGGUUGGAAAUAAUCUUACCAUGGCUGGGUCUCAGUUCCAGGACUGUGCCUCAGUUCCAGGACUGCACCUCAGUUCCAGGACUGCCUUGCACAGGUUUAGGGCCCAAAUGUGUGCUGCCUGUGUGACACAAGAACUCUGAGGCCAUGAACUAACUUAAAAACUGGUCUGGGGCUGGUUAAGCUCAUAGUGCUUUGGCAGAGCAACUGUAAAAUUGGCCAAUUGGAAGACUAAGAAGUAGAAAAAUUAGAGCUAGAUAGAUACAUACAUGAAUUCCACAUCUAGACACUUAAUAGUGCAAGUGCAGAAUAGCAGUUAUAAUGAGAAAUCCUAAAAGCCAACAAAGAGAAAAAUAAAGAGGGUAACUGUAAUCUCACAGUAGGAGUGGCAGCAUACUUCUCUGCAGCAGCAAUGGUUGUCCUAAGGUAGUGGGUAUAUUUUCAAAGUUACCAGGGCAAAUAUUUGGAUUGCUAGAAAUUUAUAAUGAGUCAACCUAACACUUAUGUAUGUAUGUAUGUUUGUAUGUAUUUAUUCAUUAAUUCAUUCACUUUUUCUUUUUUUUUGAGAUGGUCGCCCAGCCUGAAGUGCAGUGGCAUGAUCUCAGCUCACUGCAACCUCCACCUCCCAGGUUCAAGUGAUUCUCCUGCUUCAGCCUCCUGAGUAGCUAAAAUUACAGGCACCUGCCACCAUGCCUGGCUAAUUUUUGUAUUUUUAGUAGAGAGGGGGUUUCACCAUGUUGGCCAGGCUGGUCUCAAACUCCUGACCUCAGGUGAUCCACUCGCCUCAGCCUCCCAAAGUGCUGGGAUUACAGGUGUGAGCCACCACACCCAGCUGAAUCAGCCUAACAUUUAAGACUGAGGAUGUUUUGCACUUCUUGGAAAUGUAUCAUGUGCUUGUUUUACUGAUUUGAAACAUUAAAUAGAAGAAUGAAGGCACAUUUUUAUAGGAAAAAAAUGAUCAAGCAUGAGACAGGACCCCUGGACUCUGGAGAGGCACUUUGGUUUCAGGAUAAUCCUUAAAGAUAGAACCUCGCCAUCUUGGACAUCUGACCUCCAGAUAAAUCCUCCAAAAAGAAAAAAAAGAAAAGCCCUAAGGACCAGAGAAGUCAUCUUUAACAUGCAUUCUUCAUACUCUCUCAGAGAAAAUAUGCCCAUGGCUAAUGUGAGAGGCAGAGCAGAACUGAACAGAGGCUUAAAUUUUUCUACCUGAGAGUCAGAAUUUGCGUGUGGAGAUGAAUUUUGAUAGGUGUCAAAAAGCAACUGUUGGCCUUUAUGCUCUUACGGUUACCCACACUUCUAGUGAGCAACUCAUGGGUGCUAAUAUUGGGAAGCAGAGCCACCCAAGCCAACUGUAUUCAAAUUAAGGUAGAGAGAAAACCCAGAUUUGGCUACUUGCCAGACUGCUAUGCUACCUCUUUCUCAACUUACAUUAACUCAGGAGUAGGAAGCUGGGGCAAGUGGUGAAUUCUUCUAUUUCUUCUGCUACUGACCUUCCUUUGAGGCCCAAUUUAGCCCAAGAUGGGUAAGAAAAGUGAGACUGCUGAUAUUAUUUAUUUUGACCUCCACCCAGAAACAUACUGCUUCAGCCUUUCAUCCUUUUUGGAUCAAUUGACACAAGUGUUUUUUUUGUUUUGUUUUAUUUGGCUUAAAACAGUGGUUAUCAAUUUUUUUUCUGCCUUUGGUUUGUUGAAGCAAAAGUUGCUAUGAGUCACAAGCUUUGCCUGCUUUACAUAGCCAUUUAGCUAUAUUACAAAAUUAAAUUAAAUAUAUUAAAAAUAAUAUUUUAUAAUAAUAAAUAUAUUAAAAAUUAUAUUAAAAAUUAUACUGCAGGAACAAAUGGGAAGACAUGGCACCAUUUUUAAGUAAAGUAUAACAUAACAUACAUUAAAAAAUGUGCCCUGAUGAAAUUUCACAAACAACAAACUGAAUAUUCCCAUGUAAGCCCCACCCAGGUAAAGAAAUAGAAAAUUACCAGAACCCCCAAAUCCACCUCUUGUGCCUCCUUCUAAUUUCUUUCUGAGAAAGAUAACCACUGUUUUGACUUCUAUUACAUAUCACUUUUUAAAAAUCUACUUUAGGCUGGGAGAGGUGGCUCAUGCCUGUAAUCCUAGCACUUUGGGAAGCCAAGGAAGGAGGAUCACUUGAACCCAGAAGUUCACGACCAGCCUGGGCAACACCGUGAAAUCCGGUCUCUACAAAAAUAAACAAAAUUAGCCAGGUACGGUGGCACAUACCUGUAGUUCCAGCUUCUAUAUUCUGGAAGUUGAGGUGGGAGGAUCACUUGUGCCUGGGAGGUUGAGGCUGCAGUGAGCCAUGAUCAUGCCACUGCACUUCAGGCCAGGCAACAGAGCAAGACCUUGUCUCAGAA